rnacentral:lncRNA from 1 species
CUUUUAGAUAGUACAUUACUCUUUAACACCCACCAUUGGGGUGCCACAGGAUGGAGGCAUCAAUCAAUUAACAAGCUUUGGUUAAGGGCUUACUAUGUGCUAGGCACUGGGAAUGCAAACACAAAGGAUGAAACAAUCCCAAUUCUCAAGGAAUUUGCUUGUCCAUCCAUCUCUAAUUUCCCUUUACACAUCAGGAAUAAUAAAGUGGAGGAAUUCCAUGGGAACUGGAACAACCUCCAGGAAUUGAUCCAGAGUGAAAGGAGCAGAACCAGGAGAACAUUGCAUACAGAUACUGAUACACUGUGGUACAAUCAAAUGUAAUGGACUUCUCCAUUAGUGGCAAUGCAGUGAUCCUGAACAACUUGGAGGAAUCUAUGAGAAAAAACACUAUCCUCAUUCAGAGGCAAAACUGUGGGAGUAGAAACACAGAAGAAAAACAACUGCUUGAAUACAUGAGUCAAGGGGAUAUGAUUGGGGAUGUAGACUCUAAAUGAACUUCCCAAUGCAAACACCAACAACAUGGAAAUAGGUUCUGAUGAAGGACACAUGUAAUACCCAAUGAAAUUGUGCAUUGACUAUGGGAUGGGUUAGG